CCCCAGCCUGACCCAGAAGGUCGAAGGGGGGUGGGGCAGACGCUGCGGGCUUUACUCUUGGAGAUCUACUGCAGGGCUUUGAGCAGAGGAGUGGCUUUAUUGGACUUCCGUUCCGUUGCGGUUUCUGGACUAAGAAUAAUACAAAGGGGCCCGUUAGGUCCCUGAACAAAUCCAGGCAAGACAGGAUGGCGGUGAGAGGUAGCUGCGUUCUGCAUCUAUUUUGAAGCCAACAGGAUCCUCUGAGAGUUGGUAUGCAGGAUGUUAACAAGGGAAGUUGCUGAUGGCUGUUUUUGCCCUGGGCAGCUGAUCGCACCAACUAUGGAGCGGACGGCGCUGCCUUCACGGAACCCCGCGCCUUUGCUGCCCCCCGUUGACCAGACAACGUCCACCUCAGUCUGUGACCUGCAGCUCCUGAGUCAGGAACGUCAGACUCCACCAUGUCUAUGCCUCAUUAGAGGGCAACGAGCCCAGGUGGUGCAGUGGUCACACACUGGCUGCAAUCUGCCUGGUCAGUAGUUCGAAACCCCCAGCAGCUCCUCGAGAGAGAGAGCCGGGAACAAACCCCCCGGGUCGUUGAGUCAGCACUGACUCGAAGGCAGCGUUACUUGAGGAAGGAGUCACUUGUUACAAGAUCAUGACCAAACGCUGUCUAAUGAGCAGGGGUGAGGUCAGUGUCAGGAGGUCUGAGCGCCUGCAGGGGGAAAAAAAGACUGCCUGUGUGUGGUGGAGGCCCGGGAAGCCAGUGGUUGGCAGAAGGAAAACUCGGUGACAAAGGGGGGAAAGAGCAGCUAGAGGGACGGCGAGGACCGCUGGUGCGGUGGUUGGGGGUUGGGCUGUGUACCAUGAGCUCAGCUGUUAAAGACAGGGCUUGCUCCUCCCGAAGAGUCUCGGAAACUCAUGGGCUCUUCUGCCAUCAACCUGCAAUGGCAGGGUCUUAGUUUGGUAAGAAAGGUGAGAGAUUGUAGGAAGAGUCAGGGAGGUCAAGGUCCAGAGGGAAUACACGAUCCCUAUCCCACUGGCUUCCUGGGCGAAGCCCGACUCCAGAGCCACUGAAGGGCCCCAGUCUGCGGGACAGCAGUCUGGACUUCCAGGGCGAAAGAGGCUGAGAUGCGAGGGCUGCUCUCAUCUGAUCCAACUUUUAUUAAAAACCGCUUUCCCUGCCAAUCACA